GCAAGUUUCAUUCCACCAAUAAUGCUACAGUCUUCUUUUGGACUUGUGAAUAUUCUGUCGAGAGUCGAGACCUUAAUGGCACCGAAGAACCCCCCCCCCAACUGACAGUGUCUCGCCCUGUAAAGAGAUGCCCUCCUCGUAAUUAGAUUAAUUUGCCAUUAACGUCCAUUUCGGGAGUUAUAACUGAAGCUUGCAGUUCGACUUCAACAAUGGACUCAGACACAAGCAGCUGUACAGAGAGCCAGUCCCAGGCAGAGUCUGAUCAGAAAGUUCUAGCUACACCCAUGAGGCCACCACUCAACCUGAUAGAGACUGGAGGAGGCCUGAAGGUACAGACGACCACACCUCACUGGUUGGCCUGGGCAGUGGCCGGCUCAGUGUUGCCAUCACACUUAUGCCCCUAAAUGAAGGUGUGACCCGAAUUGGCCGAGAGGAUGCGUCCGUACCUCAAGACAUCACUAUUGAGGGCCUGGGUAUAGAGGCAGAGCAUUGUCGUAUUAUAAACAGAGGAGGAGUCAUCACCCUUCACCCUUCCGGAAACAUGUGCUCACUUGAUGGAGUCCAUGUCUCAAAGCCAACAUUGCUGACACAAGAGUCUGUGUGAGUCAGAGUGUGUGUUGAGAGAGAUUUUCAACAAGGACUAAAGAGCAGCAUCUGGAAGUAAUCAGCAGCCCCUCCCCAUGAUGUAACAGCAGUUGUGGUGUGAUGGAGAGCAGAGCCUGAAGGAUUCAGCAGUGGGCGAGGCCCCUGCCUCACUGCCUAACUUCACUUGGUACAAAUACACCAAAACACACAGACAGUAACACACACACACAUACACACUAUCCCACGGUCAUACUCUGAGGAUGACAGUCGUGAAUUUGUUAGUCAUAAGUCACUGUCACUGCUCUUUGUAUCAGUUUAAUAUGAGUUAUAUUAUAAUUUUAUUAUAUUAUUAUAAUGUUAGCCAUAUGUAUUAGUGUUUGUAGUGUUACCAGGACCAUUGUAGUAGCUCUACCUGUUCUGUCGUUUUUAAUGCCCUAAGGGAAACAUACAGUGGUCUACAUUUUUAGGUGUUGAAAUAACAAGGAAAAGCACUGAUUAGAGACUUGAGUGAUGUGCACAACGUGCUGAUGAUUUUGUUUAGACAUUGCUCUUUGGACUGCUUUGUCAGCUUGGGUCGAUUAGGGUCAGUUCUAAAUGUA